rnacentral:rRNA from 1 species
UCAUGGCUCAGAACGAACGCUGGCGGCAGGCUUAACACAUGCAAGUCGAACGCCCCGCAAGGGGAGUGGCAGACGGGUGAGUAACGCGUGGGAAUCUACCCAACCCUACGGAAUAGCUCCGGGAAACUGGAAUUAAUACCGUAUACGCCCUUCGGGGGAAAGAUUUAUCGGGGAUGGAUGAGCCCGCGUUGGAUUAGCUAGUUGGUGGGGUAAAGGCCUACCAAGGCGACGAUCCAUAGCUGGUCUGAGAGGAUGACCAGCCACAUUGGGACUGAGACACGGCCCAAACUCCUACGGGAGGCAGCAGUGGGGAAUAUUGGACAAUGGGCGCAAGCCUGAUCCAGCCAUGCCGCGUGAGUGAUGAAGGUCUUAGGAUUGUAAAGCUCUUUCAGUGGGGACGAUAAUGACGUACCCACAGAAGA